GUUGAACGCUGGCGGCGUGCCUAAUACAUGCAAGUAGAACGCUGAAGGAGGAGCUUGCUCUUCUGGAUGAGUUGCGAACGGGUGAGUAACGCGUAGGUAACCUGCCUGGUAGCGUGGGAUAACUUUUGGAAACUAUAGCUAAUACCGCAUAACAACAGUUCUUGCAUGAUAACUGUUUAAAAGUGGCAACUGCUCCACUACCAGAUGGCCCUGCGUUGUAUUAGCUAGUUGGUGAGGUAACGGCUCACCAAGGCGACGAUACAUAGCCGACCUGAGAGGGUGAGCGGCCACACUGGGACGGAGACACGGCACAGACGCCUACGGGAGGCAGCAGUAGGGAAUCGGCGGCAAUGGACGGAAGUCUGACCGAGAAACGCAGCGUGAGUGAAGAAGGUUUUCGGAUCGUAAAGCUCUGUUGUAAGAGAAGAACGAGUGUGAGAGUGGAAAGUUCAGAAUGUGACGGUAUCUUACCAGAAAGGGACGGCUAACUACGUG
rnacentral:rRNA from 1 species